UACAGAGGGUGCGAGCGUUGUCCGGAAUUACUGGGCGUAAAGGGCGCGUAGGCGGCCUGAUAAGUAUGAGGUGAAAUCUCACGGCUCAACCGUGAGGCUGCCUUGUAGACUGUCAGGCUUGAGCACGGUAGAGGCAGAUGGAAUUCCCGGUGUAGCGGUGGAAUGCGUAGAUAUGUGGAGGAAUACCGAUGGCGAAGGCAGCCCCCUGGGUCGAUACUGACGCUCAUGCACGAAAGCGUGGGGAGCAAACAGG
rnacentral:rRNA from 1 species